CAUCAACAUUCGUCGUUUGACAACUUAACCUCAAAUAAAACGCGCCAAAUAUUUACGCAAAAAUGCAGGCCUUUCUCAAGUCGGGAAAGUUAGAUAAUAGUGAUAAAUCAGUGCCUUCAAGCUCGAAAACAUCAAAAAAGUCGAAAGCCGUCCCGUGGGUUGAAAAAUACCGUCCUAGGACAGUCUCGGACGUUGUGGAACAGAGCGAGGCUGUUUCAGUGUUACAGCAAUGUAUUUCAGGGGCGGAUCUCCCAAACUUGUUGUUUUAUGGUCCUCCUGGGACAGGCAAAACCAGCACAAUUCUGGCAGCUGCAAGACAGCUUUUUGGUGACUAUUACAGAGACAGAAUUCUUGAACUGAAUGCGUCCGAUGAACGAGGAAUUCAAGUUAUUCGAGACAAGGUCAAGACUUUUGCACAACUAACUGCUAGCGGUACAAGGCCUGAUGGUAAACCGUGCCCUCCGUUCAAAAUCGUCAUUUUGGAUGAAGCGGACUCGAUGACACACGCAGCUCAGGCUGCCUUACGUCGAACGAUGGAAAAAGAGUCUCGAUCAACCAGAUUUUGUCUAAUUUGUAACUACGUGUCACGGAUUAUCGAACCGUUGACAUCACGAUGUACGAAAUUUCGAUUUAAACCACUGAACGAAGCUAUGAUCCUUGAACGGUUGAGUUUCAUAUGUGGGAAAGAAAAUGUCGAAUGUAGCGAUGAAACUUUAGCUACCUUGGUUGAGACAAGUGGGGGCGAUAUGAGGAGAGCCAUUACUUCAUUACAGAGUUGUGCGAAAUUGAAAGGAAGUGGGGUUCCUAUAAGUAUUGAUGACGUGUUGGAAGUGACCGGUGUUGUGCCAGAACGUUGGUUAAAGAAGUUUUUAGAUGUUUGUAAAACCAAAGAUCAAAACAAACUUCAAGCGUUUUUGAAAGAAAUGAUGUUUGAAGCAUAUGCCGCCUCACAGAAAUUUGUUUUAGAUUUUGGAACAGCUCAAUCAGUACAUUGUUAAUUUUGAGGGGUUCACUGACCAACAAAAGGCGAUUAUUGGUCAGAAACUGGGGGUUGUGAGUUUUAAACUGCAAGAUGGUGGUUCGGAAUUUAUUCAACUGUUGGAUUUGGGGUGUUCUAUAAUUCGAGCAUUUUGUAAUGUGUAAGUCUCAUUAAAUUAAAUUUUCCCAAAAUACAAA